CCAGACUCCUACGGGAGGCAGCAGUGGGGGAUAUUGCACAAUGGGGGGAACCCUGAUGCAGCGACGCCGCGUGGGUGAAGAAGCGCCUCGGCGCGUAAAGCCCUGUCAGCAGGGAAGAAAAUGACGGUACCUGAAGAAGAAGCCCCGGCUAACUACGUGCCAGCAGCCGCGGUAAUACGUAGGGGGCAAGCGUUAUCCGGAUUUACUGGGUGUAAAGGGAGCGUAGACGGCUGUGCAAGCCAGAUGUGAAAGCCCGGGGCUCAACCCCGGGACUGCAUUUGAAACUGUUGGUCUUGAGUAUCGGAGAGGCAGGCGGAAUUCCUAGUGUAGCGGUGAAAUGCGUAGAUAUUAGGAGGAACACCAGUGGCGAAGGCGGCCUGCUGGACGACAACUGACGGUGAGGCGCGAAAGCGUGGGGAGCAAACAGGAUUAGAUACCCUUGUAA
rnacentral:rRNA from 1 species